CUCAAGGCUCAGGCCCCCUUUCAAUCAGUAGUCAAUUCAUUGUCCCCCAGAAGUACUGGAUGAAAAACCAAACCUUUACCUGCAGUGUUUCAAGGCUUUUCUAAAACUUUUCAGUCAAACUCCAUCAGCAAUAUUUUUGUGGACCCAUCCAUGGAGCUUCUUCUGGUUCCCAGUAAAGGUUCAGAAUCAAAGACUCUUUCAUGCUCUGGAUGGAGCUUCAACCCUCACAUUAAAUGGUUGUCUGAGUCUCAGGAAAGGUCUCCAAAUUCCACUAAUAUCAGCAUGAGUGAAGAUGGACGUGUUAGAGUAACAAGUCACCUUGUAAUUGAUCACUCUGAGUGGAAAAAAGGGAAUAAUUUCACCUGUGAAGUGUCUGACAGGUCUCUGAACACACGUAUCACAAAAACAAUCAGUUUCUGUUCAGAAACUCCAUCAUCAUCAAAGCUAGUUGGGGUUUAUGUCCAGGGACCACCACCACAGCUGACUGAGAACAAAGGACAUGUGACUAUUACCUGUCUUCUGGUUGGCCCUAAUCUUAAUGAUUUCUCCAUCACCUGGAGAGUAGGUGGCAGCAAAAUUCCUGAGGAUUAUGAUGUCCUAACUAAUCCCCCAAUGAGUCAUAACAAUGGAACAGAGACUCAACAGAGCUUCCUUAAUGUGUCAGCAAAGGAUUGGAAUGCACAUAAACAAUUUUCUUGUGAAGGAAAACAUCCAUGCUCCAAUCAGGGGAAUAAAGACCAUAUAAGCAAAAGCACAGUGCUCCGUCGACCAACAGUGAAGAUAAUACAACCAACUGCCUCUGAACUUUCUAAGUCUGACAUCCUAACGCUUGUUUGCCUAGUGUCUGAAUUUUUCCCUGCUAACAUCAUAGUGUACUGGGAAGAAGAUGGCCAGACUCUCCCAUCCAUGCAUUACGUUAACAGUCCUCCAUGGAAAUACUCUGGGAGCAGCUCUUACUCUGUGAGCAGCAGACUAAACAUAUCCAAAACUGAAGACAAAAGGUCUACGUAUUCUUGUGUUGUCAAACAUGAGUCAUCUGAAGAGCCUGUUGAAGCCACUAUAACUGAUGUGUUUGCCUCAGUGAUCUACAGCCAGCCAUCUGCCUACUUGCUUGAGGGCUCUAAUGAACUUGUGUGUCUGGUCUUUGGCUUCAGCCCUGUAUCCAUUAACAUCACUUGGUUGAAUGAAAAAAAAGAAUUGCUGAACUACAACACUAGUGAGCCCCACAGAGGCCCAGAUGGAAAGUUCAGUGUCCAGAGCCACCUUGACCUGUCCCAAGAUAAAUUCUUACGUGGGGUGGUCUUCACCUGCAGGGUCAUCCAUGCCAACACCACCCUGUCCCUGAAUAUAUCAAAACCAGGUACGAUGGAUUACUGUAAUUUAUUUGACAACAUUGUGCAUGCUGAUGUGAAUCAAGACACAGCUGAGGAAAGCUGGAAUGUGGUUUUCACCCUCAUUGGUUUUUUCAUCACCGCCACCAUAUAUGGUAUCAUAGUUACAUUGAUUAAGACUAAAUCAUGAUGUUCACAGGACGGUUCCUGUGUUAUGAAUGAAAUGUGGAAAUUCUGGGAGUUUUAACAGCACCUGUCCUGACUAGUUUGAACAUGUAAUGCUUUGUGUUUCAAUUGUUAUUAAUGGAAUUGUUUAUGCUUUACAAUUUUUUGUGUCUGUGUUUUAGUUUUGUGCUAGAUGUGACAUGUAUGUAAGACGAGUGAGAAAAUGCAUUAAAAAUCAAUUAAA